UACGUAGGGGGCGAGCGUUGUCCGGAUUUAUUGGGCGUAAAGAGCGUGUAGGCGGUUCGGUAAGUCUGUCGUGAAAUCCUGAGGCUCAACCUCGGGCGUGCGAUGGAUACUGCCGGGCUAGAGGGUGGUAGAGGCGAGUGGAAUUCCCGGUGUAGCGGUGAAAUGCGCAGAUAUCAGGAGGAACACCGGUGGCGAAGGCGGGUCUCUGGGACGGUACUGACGCUGAGACGCGAAAGCGUGGGGAGCGAACAGG
rnacentral:rRNA from 1 species